rnacentral:rRNA from 1 species
ACGGAGGGUGCAAGCGUUACUCGGAAUCACUGGGCGUAAAGAGCGUGUAGGCGGGUAUAUAAGUCAGGAGUGAAAAACAAUAGCUUAACUAUUAUACUGCUUUUGAAACUGUGUAACUAGAAUGUGGGAGAGGUAGAUGGAAUUUCUUGUGUAGCGGUAAAAUCCGUAGAGAUCAGAAGGAACACCGAUCGCGAAGGCGAUUUACUGGAUCAUUACUGACGCUGAUACGCGAAAGCGUGGGGAUCAAACAG